rnacentral:rRNA from 1 species
GGUUGAUCCCGCCGGAGGUCACUGCUAUUGGGAUUCGACUAAGCCAUGCGAGUCGCGAGGGUUCGGCCCUCGGCUGACGGCUCAGUAACACGCGGAUAAUCUGCCCUUAGGUGGAGGAUAAUCUCGGGAAACUGAGAAUAAUAUUCCAUAGAUUUAGGAUGCUGGAAUGCACUUAAAUUAAAAGCUUCGGCGCCUAAGGAUGAGUGUGUUUACUAUCAGGUCGUAGUCAGGCUACCGACCUGACUAGCCUACGANGGAUAGGGGUUGUGAGAGGAGGAAGGGGGACAUGAUAUCUGGGAUAUGAUAUCAG